rnacentral:rRNA from 1 species
UACGAAGGGGGCGAGCGUUGUUCGGAAUCACUGGGCGUAAAGGGCGCGUAGGCGGCCCUUCUUGUCGCGUGUGAAAGCCCCGGGCUCAACCUGGGAACGGCGCGCGAGACGGGAGGGCUGGAGUUCGGGAGAGGAGCGUGGAAUUCCCAGUGUAGAGGUGAAAUUCGUAGAUAUUCGCAAGAACACCAGUGGCGAAGGCGGCUCACUGGCCCGGUACUGACGCUGAGGUGCGAAAGCGUGGGGAGCAAACAGG